rnacentral:rRNA from 1 species
UACCUUUUGUAUAAUGGGUCAGCGACUUAUAUUCUGUAGCAAGGUUAACCGAAUAGGGGAGCCGAAGGGAAACCGAGUCUUAACUGGGCGUUAAGUUGCAGGGUAUAGACCCGAAACCCGGUGAUCUAGCCAUGGGCAGGUUGAAGGUUGGGUAACACUAACUGGAGGACCGAACCGACUAAUGUUGAAAAAUUAGCGGAUGACUUGUGGCUGGGGGUGAAAGGCCAAUCAAACCGGGAGAUAGCUGGUUCUCCCCGAAAGCUAUUUAGGUAGCGCCUCGUGAAUUCAUCUCCGGGGGUAGAGCACUGUUUCGGCAAGGGGGUCAUCCCGACUUACCAACCCGAUGCAAACUGCGAAUACCGGAGAAUGUUAUCACGGGAGACACACGGCGGGUGCUAACGUCCGUCGUGAAGAGGGAAACAACCCAGACCGCCAGCUAAGGUCCCAAAGUCAUGGUUAAGUGGGAAACGAUGUGGGAAGGCCCAGACAGCCAGGAUGUUGGCUUAGAAGCAGCCAUCAUUUAAAGAAAGCGUAAUAGCUCACUGGUCGAGUCGGCCUGCGCGGAAGAUGUAACGGGGCUAAACCAUGCACCGAAGCUGCGGCAGCGACGCUGAUGCGUUGUUGGGUAGGGGAGCGUUCUGUAAGCCUGUGA